GAUGAACGCUAGCUACAGGCUUAACACAUGCAAGUCGAGGGGUAACGAGAGGAAAGCUUGCUUUCCUUGUCGACGACCGGCGCACGGGUGAGUAACGCGUAUCCAACCUGCCCCCAACUAAGGAAUAACCUUGCGAAAGUAAGACUAAUACCUUAUAAUUUCCUCAGAUGUCAUCUGACGAGGAAUAAAGAUUUAUCGGUUGUGGAUGGGGAUGCGUCUGAUUAGCUUGUUGGCGGGGUAACGGCCCACCAAGGCAACGAUCAGUAGGGGUUCUGAGAGGAAGGUCCCCCACAUUGGAACUGAGACACGGUCCAAACUCCUACGGGAGGCAGCAGUGAGGAAUAUUGGUCAAUGGGCGGAAGCCUGAACCAGCCAAGUAGCGUGCAGGAUAACGGCCCUAUGGGUUGUAAACUGCUUUUAUACAGGAAUAAAGUUAGCCACGUGUGAUUAUUUGUAGGUACUGUAUGAAUAAGGACCGGCUAAUUCCGUGCCAGCCGCCGCCGUAA
rnacentral:rRNA from 1 species